rnacentral:tRNA from 1 species
AAGGGUGUAGCGCAGCCUGGGUUUAGCGCAUCCCGCCAUCGAGGCGGGGGGGAGGGGUCGCUGGUUCGAGUCCAGUCACCC